rnacentral:rRNA from 1 species
GAACGCUGGCGGCGUGCUUAACACAUGCAAGUCGAACGCGAAAGGGGAACUUCGGGUCCUGAGUAAAGUGGCGCACGGGUGAGUAACGCGUAGAUAACCUGUCUUCAUGUCUGGAAUAAUACGCCGAAAGGGGUACUAAUACCGGAUAUUCUUGCUUUUCAUAAGUUAUGCAAGCAAAGGUGGCCUCUGCAUAUGCUACUGCAUGAAGAGGGGUCUGCGUACCAUUAGCUAGUAGGUGGGGUAAUGGCCUACCUAGGCGACGAUGGUUAGCGGGUCUGAGAGGAUGAUCCGCCACACUGGCACUGGAACACGGGCCAGACUCCUACGGGAGGCAGCAGUGAGGAAUAUUGCGCAAUGGGGGAAACCCUGACGCAGCGACGCCGCGUGAGUGAGGAAAAGGGCCUUCGGGUCGUAAAGCUCUGUCAAGAGGAAAGAAGUGUACAAUGGCUAAUACCUGUUGUAUUUGACGGUACCUCUAAAGGAAGCACCGGCUAACUCCGUGCCAGCAGCUGC